ACCCCAUCACGUUUAAACGCCGAUUCUCGUACGAUCCCCGAAGUUAAGCAACGUCGAGCCUGUUCAGUACCUAGAUGAGUGAACGCUUGGGGAUACCAGGUGCUGUAA